CCCCCAGUAACUUCUAAAAUAAGAGAAUGAUAAAACUUAUAAAAAUAUAUUAUGUACAUUACCAUGCAAACUUCCACCGAAAAUUGGUUUGCACGAGAUCUAGUAAGUAGUUUUUUUUUAAUACGUUAUAAAUCAACUAAAACUGAUUUUUUUUUCAUCAAACCCAUACGUGUGGGGUAUCUAUGGAUAGGUCUUCAAAGUUGAUAUUGAGGUUUCUAAUAUAAUUUUUUUCUAAACUGAAUAGUUUGCGCGAGAGAAACUUCCAAAGUGGUAAAAUGUGCCCCCCCCCCCCCUGUAACUUCUAAAAUAAGAGAAUAAUAAAACUAAAAAAAAAUA